UCUACUAAUGUUGCCACAUCACCAUGAUUACUGUUGAUAAUCUCGCGAUGGUUCGAAACCGAUUCAAAUUCAAAUUCAAAAUCAAGCAAACCAUAAAAGUUUUCAAAUAUUAAAACUAAAAUGUUCUGCAUGUGACACAUAAUCCCUAGGUAAUGUUGGUGGAGAAACCACAUUUUUAUUAAAUAAUUUAAUGCAGUAAUGUAAUUAAAACAGUAGCUAAAACAUUUAAUUAAAUGCCUUUUAUAAAUUAUAAAUUAUUUAAACAUUUUAUUUAGGGGCCAAACUUUUAAUGCAGUGAGUUAUUUAGAGACAUUAUUUUAGGAACUAUUGUCCUAUUUUACAAAACUAAAGAAACUAAAAGUAAAAUAAAACAGAAUAAAAGAAAAUGGGAAAGGAAAAGAAAAACAAACAACAAAAUCAAAAGGAGAAGGAACCCCCCCUGCUGGGCCAUGGCCCAGCUGGCCGAAACCAGUGAGGCCGGCCCACCCGGUGCCCCUGUAUAACCCCACCCCACUAACCCUAGAGCCCACUACCCCCCACGAUCCCCACUCCUCCCCUUGAUCCACUCCUCCCUCUCCCUCCCCAUUCUGGAUCGGGGCGCCCGACCCGCCGCCGCCGCCGCGCCUUCACCGUUUUCGCGCGCCGGCGCCACCCCGAGCUGCACCAGGUUGGGCAGAAGCCUUGUCACCCUCCCCUACAUCGCCUACAUGGACCAGCUCGAGCUCCUCACCCCUGCGUCAAGCUGUUCGCCGUCGUCUUCCACCUCGGACUCAGAGACCGCCGUCGUUGCUUCGUCGUCUCCGGCGCCUCCCUGUGCUCGCCGAGCCUUCCAUGUGCUCCGAUGUGAGCCCCUCCAUCGAUCCCCCUCUUCCUCCUUUCGUUUUCCUCGCCGUAGCGCCGCCCCACGAGCUCGCUUGCCCGCUGCCGAACCCGCUCGCGUUCACCAUGCCCAGGCGCUUCGCCGUGCCCCGAACGCGCCGGCCAACACUCGGACGCGUCGGCUACGCCGCGCCCGCGCCCAGCAACCCGAGUUCGUGCUUAGCGCCACCGGCCUGCGCUCCCCCUGGCCUCCCCCAGACGCCGCUCACGCCGGCUGCGCCCCUCACCUGCAUCGCCCGGCGCCUGCCGCACCCCAUCGCUGCUGCUGUGCCGCCACGCCUCUGCCACUACUGCCGCGCCAUGCCGCCAGCCGCAGCCUCGCCUCCCCUCGGCACUGCGCCGCUGCCCUGCCGGGCGCACGCGCCCUUGCGCCGGUUAGCCGCGCUGGGUCGCUUCGGGGCUUCGUUGCCCCGGCGCCCGCUAACCCGCCCCGUUUCUUCCCCUGUGCCUAUGACUAGUGGGGCCCAGCCCCAGAAAUGAAAUGAUAAAAAAAGAAUUUAAAAUAAUAAUAAUAAUAAAAUUAAUUAAUUAAUUAAUUAACUUAACUUUAUUAAUUCUGAUUAAUUAGACUAAACAACAAAUUAAACUAAUUAAUCAUGAUUAGUUAGUCUAGUCAAUGAACGUGACCCACAUGUCAUUUGACCAGUCAACUCUCUGCUGACGUCAUGCUGACGUCAGCAUGCACCGUUCUGGAUAAUCCUAAAAAUGAUUUAAAUCUUUUAAAAUUAAUAUAAAAUAAACCGUAGCUUGGAUGAAAAAACUUUGUACAUGAAAGUUGCUCAGAACGACGAGACGAAUCCGAAUACGCAACCCGCUCGUCCGCCACGCAUCCCUAGCAUACCGAACACGCAACUUCCCCCCGGUUCAUCUGUCCAAAAACGUGAAACACCGGGAAUACUUUCCCGGAUGUUUUCCCCCUUCACCGGUACCACCUCGUACCGCGUUAGGGCACACCUAGCAUCACGCUUUGUCAUGUCAUGCAUCGUCAUGCAUUUGUUUGUAUUAUAUUUAUUGUUUCUUCCCCCUCUUCUCUCACUAGACACCGAGACCGACACCGCUGCUACCCAGUACGACUAUGGUGUUGACGACCACUCUCUCUUGCCAGAGCAACCAGACAAGCCCCCCCUCUUGAUCACCAUAUAUCGCCUACUCUCCUCUAUACUGCUUGCAUUAGAGUAGUGUAGCAUGUUACUGCUUUCCGUUAAUCCUAUCCUGAUGCAUAGCCUGUCAUUGUUGCUACAACUGUUGAUACCUUACCUGCAAUCCUAAAUGCUUAGUAUAGGAUGCUAGUUUAUCAUCAGUGGCCAUACAUUCUUGUCCGUCUGCCAUGCUAUACUAUCGGGCCGUGAUCACUCGGGAGUUGAUCACGGGUAUAUACCUAUACUUUAUACAUGAUACAUGUGAUGACUAAAGUCGGGUUGGCUCGAGGAGUACCCGCGAGUGAUUCAUGGAUUGGGGGCUGAAAGGACCUUUGUCCCGAUGGCCCUCUGGGUGGAUCGUUGUGGCGGAGCAAUAGGGAAGGUUGAGACCACCUAGGAGAGAGGUGGGCCUGGCCCUGGUCAGCGUUCGCGGUGUCUUCAAGAUAACACGUUUAACGAGAUCUUGGUAUUUGAUCUGAUUCUGGCUACUGGCCUAUACACACUAACCAUCUACACGGGGACAGUUAUGGGCACUCGACGUCGUGGUAUCAGCCGAAGCCUUCGUGACAUCAGCGAUUGAGCGACGCGCGCCGGGCUGGACCGCGUAGCGCAACUUCCUUUGUAAUGGAGGUUGCUAGGUCUGCUCACCGGCCGCAUUCGCAACAUGCAGGUGUGCAAAGGACGAUGGGCCCAGACCCCUGCGCCAUAGGAUUUAGACCGACAUGCUGACCUCUCUAUUGGGCAUAGGUAGGGCUGCGACGUGUUGAUCUUCCGAGGCCGGGCAUGACCCAGGAAAGUGUGUCUGGCCAAAUGGGAUCGAGCAUGUUGGGUUAUGUGGUGCACCCCUGCAGGGAAGUUAAUCUAUUCGAAUAGCCAUGAUCUUCGGUAACAGGAUGACUUGGAGUUGUACCUUGACCUUAUGACAACUAGAACCGGAUACUUAAUAAAACACACCCUUCCAAGUGCCAGAUACAACCGGUGAUCGCUCUCUCACAGGGCGACGAGGGGAGGAUCAUCGGUUAGGAUUAUGCUAUGCGAUGAUACUUGGAGGACUUCAGUCUACUCUCUUCUACAUGCUGCAAGACGGAGGCUGCCAGAAGCGUAGUCUUCGAUAGGACUAGCUUUCCCCCUCUUAUUCUGGCAUUCUGCAGUUCAGUCCACCGAUAUGGCCCUUUACACAUGUACCCAUGCAUACGUAGUGUAGCUCCUUGCUUGCGAGUACUUUGGAUGAGUACUCACGGUUGCUUUCUCCCCCCUUUCCCCCCUUUUCUUUCUUUCUGGUUGUCUCAACCAGAUGCUGGAGUCCAGGAUCCAGACGCCACCGUUGACGACGACUCCUACUACACCGGAGGUGCCUACUACUACGUGCAGCCCGCUGACAACGACCAGGAGUAGUUUAGGAGGAUCCCAGGCAGGAGGCCUACGCCUCUUUCGAUCUGUACCCCAGUUUGUGCUAGCCUUCUUAAGGCAAACUUGUUUAACUUAUGUCGGUACUCAGAUAUUGUUGCUUCCGCUGACUCGUCUAUGAUCAAACUCUUGUAUUCGAGCCCUCGAGGCCCCUGGCUUGUAAUAUGAUGCUUGUAUGACUUAUUUUUAUUUGUAGAGUUGUGUUGUGAUAUCUUCCCAUGAGUCCUUGAUCUUGAUCGUACACAUUUGCAUGUAUGAUUAUUGUACGGUCAAAUCGGAGGCGUCACAAGUUGGUAUCAGAGCCGACUGCCUGUAGGAAUCCCCUUCCACACUCCCUGGCCGAAGUCGAGUCUAGACAUUACCAAAACUUUUACUAACAUGGCUGUGUGUCUUACGGGCCCACAUCGCCAUUGGGUGGUAUUAGGAUCUUUUACUCCUUGUCUAUACUCUGGGACUCUAAUUUCUCUUCUAUUCGGGUUAAACUGAAUUUCGCUAAAUCUAACAUUAGGAUCUCGUUAUCACUUUCACCCGGAGAGCACCUUAUUACCGAUGAUCGUCUGCUACACCAGAAGACCCUGAAGAUACUCUCCGUUGUUAACCCGAGAACUUGUGUUCAUUGCGUUUGCAAUUCCCCUUCAACCCUCAACCCUUAUGGAUAACUACAUGUAGUUGUCAUUCUUACACUCAUCCCUAGUUGUUCUUGUUAUUACAAGAUACCCUGAAAUACUCGUCGUUGAUUCGAUAAUCCUUUGUGCCUUACUGUCUUGCAGUUUUUGCCACAUGAAUACCCCUACGAAUAAUUUCUCACACUUGCCGAGUAUCCGCUUAUCCCCAGUUGUUUGUGUUUUGCAAAAGUCUUCGAAAUACUAUUCGAUCCUUCGAAAAUCCCUAGCAGCUUAUUGCUCUGCAAACACUUGUCUGCUUGCAUUAUGGAUGCUCUCCAUAUGUCUUGCAAUAUUCAUUAAUCUCCUUUGACACCGUCAUUUUGAUCCUAUUGAUUCAACAUGAGUGCGAGUGCGCGCAAUCAUCGGUUGAUCCUUUUAAAAUAUCUUUCCGGCUUAGAUGUCAUUUUGAUAGUGAGCUGGUUAUCGAAUCAUCAAAUUGUCGUCGAUUGUACCCCUAAGUCUAUUCAACUUAUCCAUUCUUAAUCAGACCGUUGGCUUCUGAUCCCUUGAUUUGAAAAUCUUAAUUCCUUUGUAGAUGAGCUCUGAAUUAGUCAGGUGUUUCCAAUGCCUUCGCAUUGAUUCUUCUUCUAGUUGAGUACCGAUGCUCACAUCAGUUCUCUUGUGGACCAUCAACUCCUUUGUUGGGUUUUAUCUGACAACGUCCUUCAUAUUCAAUGACUUUGUGAGUCUUUUCUCGGAUACAUAAUGCCUUUGGUAAAUUGUAUCCUCUGCUUUGUCGAACAUGCUCUGCUUUUGAGCUUGUGUUGUUUACUCCUGAAGUUCGUGGUAUAUGUUCCUAAGAAGCCCAGAUGGGUUGAACCAAUGCCUUCCCUAAUCUAUGCAAACCCGAAAGAUUUCACAGGUCAUACUUAUCUGGUAUUGCACCAGGUAAAACUUUCAACAACUAAUGCCAUUUCGAAAAGAAACGAGAAGUGAAUGAAAGGUUAUGCAUUGGCGAAGUGGGAGUCGACCUUGAACUUUGUGUUCAUGCCCAUGGACAUGAUGUAGAACUUAUCAUGGAAGCUGCUCGUAAAAAUAAUUACCCCCUUGUUAGAAGUUCAUCUUGUAUCCGUGGUUCGAUCAUUUAUGAUUGUGGUUCCGACCAUAAUUUCUUCCUUUGAUUCCAUUUCUCAGACAAGUUAAAGCGCUUGUCUUCUAUAUAUCAAUACACCCCACUUCAACCUUUCAUUUGAUAUGCCUUCGAGUAUUAUCCCCCUAGUAUCUCGAGGAUAUCAUGCCAUUGCACUACAUCUUAUGAAUUUGUGCUGGAGUAAUACCUUUCCCUAUCAGAGUCACUCUACGAGUUCUGGGUUGUCGUCAACCGAGAACACCGAUAAGUGAAUUGAUUCCACGCUCCGACCUUCGAUACGAUAAAUCUAAGUAAUUUUUGUUCCUUAUGAUUUAAUAAUCCUUCAAGUCAUUCCUAGCCUGAUCGGCUAUAUCAUUAUCGUGCAACUUUUUAACUGUGCUACCUGGCCCUUCUUCCCGGAGCACAAUUUUUGAUGAUGAGCUAAUCUUACAUCGACUUUCCUCAUCAUAUCAUUUUGCUUUGGACAACAAGCUCGUUUUCGAGUUUGUGUCGUACCCAUGGUUCCAAUAACCUCUUUCUUCAUCAUUCCUUUGACUUGAUGUCAUCGCUGAUCGAUUACAUCUUCAGGUAAUCUCUCGACAAAUGUGUCGUGAUCAUUAUCAACAUUCCGAGCUCUUCCAGAACAUCAAUCAAAUUCAUGAUGAGAAUUACCAUCCUUGCCCCUCGAUGAUUUGUGUUGUCAUCGACUACUUCCUUGCCUUCUUUCCAACACAAACUUGUUCGAGUUGUGGCUGUACCUUGAGUUCCUGGCUAUCCAGCUUGUCUUAUGUCCUACCUUGAAGUAAUACCAUCUUAUAUAUCAAGAAUGUUGUGAGAAUUUCACCACCUCUUAAGAAUUCUUGGUAUGGUGAUACUUCUCACCAUCACCAUUCUUUCUUGGUACCCGUGUUGUUUCUAACCGGAAUACCGACAAUUGAACUAUGAUGUGUGAAUUCAAAACUUCUAGCAACCCUAUUGCUUUGAAGUGAAUGGUCGAGUUUCAUUCUAAUUCUUUUGUUCGUCAAGUCACCAUUCUAACAUUGAUCGUGCAACCCAGCCCAUAUUUCGGGUGCACCUUUCAACCCAUGUUUAAUUGUGUAUGUUUUCCUCGAGCAAACAUCAUUAAGUCAUUUGAUCUGGCUAAUGUUAUCUCCUUGUUCACAUAGUUGUGGAAAUCCAUCCUUUUUGGAAAUGUCAAUGGAUUGUCGCUGAGUCAAUCAGUCACCUCCUGACCUCUCCUUGAUUUAAUGGUGAACUCUUGUUUCGGUAGUCGCUUCCAUGGUUUAAUUCCCGAGAAUCAUACAAUGUCACCUCGACAAUUUGUGUUGCACCUUUCUUCUCAGGCAUCCUGAGUCUAAGGUAUCUUGACACCAACCAGAUCUGAAUCUUGGUCAGAUAUGAUGGUUGGAACAUAUUUUCAAGAGUUAUAACAUUGGUCCCUAUAUGCCCCGGUAAGGUGAUGUCAUGCCUAGCACGCCUGACCAGAGGACCUAGUGUUAUAGUUUCCUUUUUAACAAGGUUAAUCAUUUUUCCAUGAGGAAAUUGAAUGCCUUGUUUAAUAAGUUUAUCCUGAUGGAUCCUUUGUGUAUCCAAAGUCCGACCUUGCUCGAACACCAUGUCAGUGCUAUCUCAAAGCAUGUCUGUGGUACUCUGGUCAUCGAUAAGAACAUUUUGAAGCACCCUGCUAAAUUUCCUUUAUCAAUUAUUCAAACACCGUUGUUUGGGUAAUGUCAUGAACUUCCUCUCCCCUUACCUAAAUGGUUUUCUACGUUAUAUCCUGUCAUGGAUAUCAUGCUCUACUUGUCCUUGGGAAGGAUAUACCCCUGAAAUAUGUGUUUAAACACCUUUUCCCUUUCCAUUGUUUGGUUUAGCCUUUCUUGUGAUCUAUAUGAUCCAUGCAAAAAUAUUCUCCUGCUUAUGUAAACAUCUCGGUGUACAAUUCUAGCAGUAAGACCCUGUUACUAUUGUUGAUGACAUUCCGGUAACCACCGAUGGACGAGAACUUUGCCUAUUGGUCCGCCUCAUUCAACGAGCAAGAAAAUGGUUCUCUUCGUCCCUCGCCCUUGGUACCGAUGUUGUUGCCGACAUAACUGAUAGGCUAUCCUCUGACAUGCCUUGCUUACAUGAUCGUGCAAGAUGUCAUCGCCUUCCUAUGUUUAACCCAGAUGGUGGGCCCAUAACCCACAGUUCCUCAGGAUCAAACCUUGACUCUCCUAUACACCCCCUGUUUCCAAACUAAUUCCUCGUACUUGGCCUCAUAUGUGAUUCACGAGCCACCUUCCGAGAGAUCAUCAAUUAUGGUAUCAGACACAAUACUUAUUCCCAUUGCUUUGAAUCCCUUUUCACGCCCUGUUUCAGGCAUCGGACGAUUGCCUGCCCGCUCAAAACUUCCCAUGAUACCUCCUUACUUUGCUCUCGAUAUAUUCGCAAGUUUCAAUUCUAGAGUUACUUUCGCCACUUUCCUCGAUGUUAUCGACCAGAUAGUCGACCCUGCAGAGUUCUGUUCUCUCGGUAUGCCCAACCUUUAUUCUUUCGUAAGUACGAUGGAGUUCCUGAAGAAAGGAUGCCGACUUCAUCAUGAUGACCUGAAGCAGAGAAAUGAAGACAUCAAUGUAUUGGACCAGCCUCUUCGAGAAGAGCAAGCCAGGAUGAGAAGACCCGCUAGAUGCAUUACCAAACCUUUCCCCCCUUUCACUACCUCUUAAAUCUCGGGACGAGAUUUCUUGUAGUGGAGGAGAAUUGUGAUGCUCGGAUAAUUAAGCUACAGUAACCCUCUACUAAUGUUGCCACGUCACCACGAUUACUGUUGAUAAUCUCGCGAUGGUUCGAAACCGAUUCAAAUUCAAAUUCAAAAUCAAGCAAACCAUAAAAGUUUUCAAAUAUUAAAACUAAAACGUUCUGCAUGUGACACAUAAUCCCUAGGUAAUGUUGGUGGAGAAACCACAUUUUUAUUAAAUAAUUUAAUGCAGUAAUGUAAUUAAAACAGUAGCUAAAACAUUUAAUUAAAUGCCUUUUAUAAAUUAUAAAUUAUUUAAACAUUUUAUUUAGGGGCCAAACUUUUAAGGCAGUGAGUUAUUUAGAGACAUUAUUUUAGGAACU
rnacentral:lncRNA from 1 species